AAAUGACGGUACCUGACUAAGAAGCCCCGGCUAACUACGUGCCAGCAGCCGCGGUAAUACGUAGGGGGCAAGCGUUAUCCGGAUUUACUGGGUGUAAAGGGAGCGUAGACGGCACGGCAAGCCAGAUGUGAAAGCCCGGGGCUCAACCCCGGGACUGCAUUUGGAACUGCUGAGCUAGAGUGUCGGAGAGGCAAGUGGAAUUCCUAGUGUAGCGGUGAAAUGCGUAGAUAUUAGGAGGAACACCAGUGGCGAAGGCGGCUUGCUGGACGAUGACUGACGUUGAGGCUCGAAAGSGUGGGGAGCAAACAGGAUUAGAUACCCUGGUAGUCCACGCCGUAAACGAUGACUGCUAG
rnacentral:rRNA from 1 species